rnacentral:tRNA from 1 species
UCCCAGGUGGUCCAGUGGCUAGGACUCGGCACUUUCACUGCUAUGGCCUGGGUUCCGUCCCUGGUGUGGGAA